AAGUAUGAAUGAGAAUGUGGAGCAAAUGGUACACUUUCACACUGCCGAUAGAAAUGUUAAUAGGUACCAUCAUAGAAAAAGAAUUAUCCUUUAAAUGUGAACUUUCACAUGGGCACUGGGAGACCUGUUUAAGAAUGUUUAUAAUAACAAAAAUCAUCUCGCCACAGGAGUUCCCAGGUGGCUCAGUUGGUUAAGGAUCUGGUGUUGUCACUGCUGUGGCUCUGGUUACAGCUGUGGCUUGGCUUCAAUCCCUGGCCUGGGAACUUCUGCAUGCCACAGGUGUGGCCAAAAAAAAAAAACUCAAAGAAACACAAUUUUAAGAGAAAUAACCCAGUGUCCAUUGACUAUAUGAAUGAAUAAGUUAUGUAUAUUCAUGCAAUAUAAUAUUUAAAAACAGUGAAAAUGAAUGAACCACAAGUACACUCUGGUUUUCCUUCUUCUGUUACUGGCGCUGCUCCUAUCCCAGCUCAUCAUGCAGGUUAGAUCCAAGAUGGACAGUCAGUCCGCCCAGUAACAAUGUGGACUCUCAGCACAGACCUUUUCCCUUCCCCUUAAACUCAGCUUCUGAACUUAUUCUGUUUCUGGCUUCACACUCCUGGCACUCUAUCCCCAAAGUAGGCUCUGUGUGUGUGUGUGUGUGUGUGUGUGUGUGUGUGUGUGUGUGUGAAGAAAGAAGGAAUGGGUGCUGGGUAGGCAGCCAUUGUCCAGCAGUCCCUCCUUCCGUCCAUGCUACAGACUCCUUGAGGGAGGGACCAUGUCAUAAUUAUCUCUGCAUUCCCUGAGCACAGUGUCUGGCACACCUCAAGCAUUCAAGAAAUACUGAACAAAAGAUUAGCCUAAGUCAAAACUAACUGGUUGGACCGACUAAAAAAAAAAUCGGGUCAAGAGCCCUCUUGCCAGAACCAACACACUCACAGGGAAAGCUGGAAUCUCCAGAUAAGGAAAUGGGUGGAUGGAUGAAUUAGAAAGUAGAGGUAUUUUAAGGGUUUUUAUUUGACUAGCAAAAGAAAAGCUUUUUGGUCAAAGACACCACCCCACCCCCACCCCCCACCCGGAGUGGCUGGCAAAAUAGAGCACUGGUGUGUUUGAUGUGACUGUCCUGAAAUCUUCAGCAGUAACUCCACAAUGAGGUGGUAUUUUCCUGAUCUUAAAAGGAGCUCAGCAGACGCUUUCGUCCUCCAAUUGCCAGGGUGUGAAACAUGGCUUACCAUUCAACUGGAACAAUAUUUUUGGCAGCAGUGCCUUCAGUAGCCUUUCUCAGUUCAUCCUUAUUCAAGCAGCCAUUUACUGGAUAGCUGGCUGGCGUGACAGUACGUAGGCACCAGAUGCCCUGGACCUAGUCACUUGCUCCCUGUUUUCCCAAUUAGCCCGGUGUUAAUGUUUUGUAUCCCUCUGGUGCUGACUUAUUUACCACCCCUGUGUCUGAUGAGGUACGGAGAAACCCCAACGUUUCCUGACUUAUGGUUUAAAAAAAAAAUAACAAGUUCUAGGGAGUUUCCUUUGUAGUGCAGCAGGUUAAGGAUCUGGCAUUGUCACUGUAGCUGCUUGGGUAGCUGCUGCGUCACAAGUUUGAUCCCAGGCCCAGGUUCGGCAUUCUAGCCAAAAAAAAAAACAAAAUCAAAUUCUGGCCAGUGGAUUCAAACAUUCAGGACAGAAAUCAGCCUCAUCCCUGCCUCUACACUGGGGUCACCUUGUAUGGUUACGUACUUUCUGCCUUGCACAAAGGCCCUGCUCAGGGCUAGUCCAGACUGCAGUUGCUUGAUAAACCUGCAGUGGGGGUUGAAUCCUUUGCCUGGAGGAAAGGGCCCCUAGAGCUCAUAGCAGCACCAGCUGCUUGCCUGAGGGACACCUUCAUCUAGUUGGCAGAGGCCUCCCUUCCUAUCCUGUCCUGAAGAUGGACCCAGUGGCCCUGGACUGAUUUGUUUUUGUCUUUGUCAUUUUAAGGCUGCACCUGUGACAUGUGGAGAUUCCCAGGCUAGGGGUCGAAUCAGAGGUACAGCCGCCAGCCUACCCCACAGCCACAGCAACACAGGAUCCGAGCUGCGUCUGCCACCUUUACCACAGCUUACGGCAAUGCCAGAUCCUUAACCCACUGAGCAAGACCAGGAAUCGAACCCAAAUCCUUAUGGAUACUUACUAGUUGGGUUCAUUAACUGCUGAGCCAUGACAGGAACUCCAUGGACUGACUUUGUGAUUGCCUCCUGCCCUAGCCGUGGCUGGGAAUAAGACCAUGUACAAAAAGGUGUGAUCCAUGCCUAUCUUUCUGACCCAGUUUCUGGAAAUCUGUGUCUCCCUGUGCUGCCUGUAUGUGAGCAUCCCCUGGCCCAGAGAGCUCCCUGUUCUGUGAGACCAUGGCUGCCCAGCCUGCUUUCGGCCUAUCCUCUGACUCCUUGCCUGGCUGAUUCCUGCCUGGCUCACCAUAAACACUGAACUUCCCUUUGUGCCCAGGUCCCUGCCUGGUUGCUGACACCGUCCCUGGCUACUACUUGUCCUGGCUUUUAGUACUGGCUUUUCAAAACUUAGACUUAGCGCUGACCACAGCCUCUGAUCAGGACAAAAGGGACUAUUUUCCACGGGAUGAAGUGUUUUUAUCCAGCCAAAUAAGACAUUUUAGUAGCCAGGUUUUAUCCCCUGUGCCAUCCUACAACAUAAUCCUGUUUACAGAUGGCCUUCUCUUCCAGCACUUGUCCCAACCCAUUCUUCUAGUCUGAGGCCACCAAGUUCAUUUCGCUGUUAUCUCUCAUCCCAUGUAUCUCUAGAUUACAAAUGAUCUUUCUCAAUAUUAUUUUCAGCAGUGUGCUCAGACCCUCGAUUAUACCCUUCAUAGCUUGACCCAGCUCCUGAAGGCUUCCUAACCCUAUGCCUCCCCCAGGAGUCACCCCUUUACAUGCACAUUCUCACACACACAUGCAUACAGUGUCUGCUCUGGGGUAGGAUCCAGAGAUGAUUUGGUUGCUGAGGCCAUAUGCAGGGUGAGUCAAAAGCCCACCCUGAAGGUCCAUGUUGUUACUGAGAGAACUGGCUGUCCUGUCCUGGAGCUGAGCUGCUUGGCAUGUUGAAACAGGAGCAGCAGCACAGGCAAAUAGGACCAGAAAGAAAGCCAGGAUUGGGGAGGAAUAAAAGAUGAGGGGAAGUGGUCCUGUCAAACACCUGCGAAAAAAGAUCACACUUUGAAAAAUCUGCUUAGGAGCUGUCAUGCCCCCUGCUUCCUUGCUCUGCUCCAUCCCUAUUUCUGUCUAGAAACUUUUCCGAGAACAGCUCCCUUUCCCCCCAUAAUUUAUUCUACCCACCUACUCAUUGCGACACUUUUUGAUCUGAUUCCCAUGGUUCUGCUUCAGGUGCUUGCCUCAGUCACCUUGGUGACACACCCACUUAGUACUACCCCCUCCUCCCUUUUGCCUUCUCCCACAGGGGAUCCUGGCAUUCAGACUCCCCUGCACCCUGGCUUCAAGGAGUGUGAGCGCCUUCAGGGCUGAGAUCUCUUCCUUAUGAUCCUUUUCUACUCUCCACAGCACCUAAAGAGAUUCUGGGCACACAUCACACAAUCAGUCAAUGUUUGUUAAUUGAUGGACAGAUUCAUUAUAACACACUCUCUUUUUUUUUUUUUUUUUUUUUGUCUUCUCAGGGCUGGAGGUUCCCAGGCUAGGGGUCGAAUCAGCGCUGUAGCCACCUAUCUACGCCACAGCCACAGCAACGUGGGAUCCGAGCUGCAUCAACACCAGAUCCUUAACACACUGAGCGAGGCCAGGGAUCAAACCCGCAACCUCAUGGUUCCCAGUCGGAUUUGUUAACCACUGAGCCACAUCAGGAACUCCGAUAACACACUUUCCAUCACAUCUUAUAAAGUGGCAUUUUUCAAAGUGUGCUAUGAGGAUUCUUUGCACCAGAAUCUCAUUGGGUUAUUUUCUAAAAUGCAGAAUCUUGGAGUUGGUGGCCUAGUGGGUUAAGGAUCUAGUGUUGUCACUGCUGUGGCUUGAGUCACUUCUGUGGCACAGGUUCAAUCCCUGGCCCUGAAACUUCCACAUGCUGGGAGUGCAGCCAAAAAGUAAAAGCAGGAUCUUGGACCCUACCACAUACCGACUAAAUCAGAAUUUCUAGGAAUAACUCUGGUAUUUGCAUUGUAGUGGAUAAAAGAUGGCCACAAAUUCUUUGACUUUUCUCCCAUUAAGAGGUGGGGUCUGAAGAAACUCAUGGACUUGGAGAACAGACUUGUGGUUGCCAAGGGGGAGGGAGAGGGAGUGGGAUGGACUGGGAAUUUAGGUUUAAUAGAUGCAAACUGUUGCCUUUGGAAUGGAUAAGCAAUGAGAUCCUGCUUUAUAGCACUGGGAACUAUAUCUAGUCACUUGUGAUGGAGCAUGAUAAUGUGAGAAAAAGAAUAUAUAUAUAUAUAUGUAUGUGUGACUGGGUCACCUUGCUGUACAGUAGAAAAUUGACAGAACACUGUAAACCAGCUAUAAUGGAAAAAAUUAAAAUC
rnacentral:lncRNA from 1 species